rnacentral:lncRNA from 1 species
GUGCAGACCUAACAAGAACCUAAUUAACCAUGAACGUGAUAUAUGCAGAUGCCUUCCUACCCACUGUAUGCAUGCCACUAGCACGUACUCAAUAUUUCCUAAAGCAACUUUCCCUUUUGUCUUUGAGCUUUCAUUAAUUCUCCAUCUAGCUAGCCAUUCAACAAUAUGCCCCAACCAAGUGCAUAGCAACAAAUUCAAAAACCACCUCUACAAAAAGCCAAAGCGUAUAUAUUUAUAUAUUUGUUAACUUUGGCUUUCAAGCCUCAUCGAUCCUGACCGUGAUGUGAUAGACAAAUGCAUAGGAAACAAGUUUUGCCCUACCAUGCAGGGAAAAAAACCGAAAAUAUGCAGGGUUGGAAGUUUCGAAUCUAAAACUUGUUAAAUUUGGAAACCAUCCAUGUUCGGUAAUUUGUAUGCCCUAAAAACUUAACAAACCUGUUGAACAAAGUGUAAACACGAAAAUUCUUGUAGCGAAUGAAACGAGAACACGUGUACGAAGUAGAUUUGUAUUCAUUUGAAUUUGUAGGUUACAAUCUUUGUUUACAAUUUUCCCUCUGAUUCAGUCAUCAAAUUUGAUGUAGAUGAUUGAUUGUUAAUCCAAGGGUCGCAAUGACUUGAUUUCGGACGAACGAUUGAACGAUUGCUUCAAGUUUUAAGCUUGAAAACAACGCGUAGACGGUCUUUUCUUCAAGUUAGGGUUGCGGCAAAGGUGUGGGAUUUUGUCGAUUCAAGGGUCUUGGCGACUUGAUCUUGAAUCGAACGUCGUUACAAGUUUAUGAGCUUGCAACAAAGUCUUGAAAGAAUCGGCACGAGUGCUUGUUUUGAUUCUUCAAGAGGAGUGCUUCAGCUUUAGUCGAGAGAAAGCUUCAGCUUUGAUUGAAUGUUCUUCGAAGAGAGCCUUGGCAGCGUAUUAGUCUUCAAAGGUUUGGUAAAGGUUCUUCUGAAUGCAAGAAUUUCCCCACCCUUAUGCUUGUGGGAGGACCUUGUAUUUAUAGGCUUCUCAAGGCUUGCCCUUGGGUGGAUUUGACUUUGAUUUAUGUCUUAAUUUGUCCAUGAGAGAAUUUAUGGAUGUUUUGUGUCUUAAUUUCAACCACUUUACUCCCUUGGCCGAAAUUAUGAGGCCUUGUUGCCUAUUUUGUGGGCAAUCUUCAAUUCUUACUUGUUUUAUGAAAAUGCCUUAACUUUCUUUCCGGUUUUGAGAGUAUUUUGAACCCUUGCCGAAUUUAAGAGGGAUUCUGCCUUGUUUGCCGAGUUUUUUGGGGAAGUUGUCUACUUCCUUUGCUUGAUUUGUGCCACAUGUCAUUAAUGACUUGUCCAUUUGUGAUGAGUCAUAUGCCACGUGGAGCUUUGUGAUGCAUCAUUUGUAUGCAACGAAAUUUACAUGUCUACAUAACGUAUAUCAAAUCACUUUUUAACCAAAAUGGUUCUUAAGAUUGACAUAACUCUUCACUUUGGUCCUAGAGAUUUGAGAUCAACAUAAGUGGUUCCUAAGUUUGUUCACCAUCAAUCAUUUUGAUACUUCCGUGACAAAUUCUGUUAAAUAAUGACUAAAAUAAUAAAAAUACUCUCAAUUCCAUAAACAAUGGGUCAAAAUGAUUUGACAAAAAUUGAGAUUACUUUUGUCAUUUUAUAAUGGAGAUUUUUCACGGGAUGAACAAAAUGAAUGAUGAUAGACAAACUCAGGACCCUAUCGAUUUCAAAUCUCAGAGACCAUUUUAGCUAAAAAAUCAUAUCAAAUUAACACUUAUCAGAUGAUUGUUAAUCGGCAAAACUAAUCAAUCAUCACCAAUCUUUUAAGUAUAUUUGUACAGUUGGUUUAAUUUGAUGGCACAAAUGGAGUUUGGAUACACGUGAUUACAAGUUUUUCAACAUGUACAUGUACAUGUUUUCGUGCCUGCAUGCAUUAACUUUAGGUGCUGAAAGAGUCAUUCUGAGGGGACCGUUGUGUCUUUUAACUAUUUUUUUUCUUUUAUAAAGUUCUUUGUUCUUUUCGUUUUUGGCGUUCUGGAAUGUCGAAAGAACAAACGUAAACAAUAAAACAUUUACUACUUGCUUGAGACGUUCAACUAUAUUAUAAAAUACAGUUCAAGAAUAGUCCAAGUCGUGAAACAUUUAGAUUAGUCCAACGCAAUCAAUAAAUUUGAUAAUAAUUUAAGAUCAUCUCCGAGAUGCUAAAAA